rnacentral:rRNA from 1 species
GAUGAAUGCUGGCGGCGUGCCUAACACAUGCAAGUCGAGCGGUAACAGGAGUAGUUUACUACUUGCUGACGAGCGGCGGACGGCUGAGUAACGCGUGGGAACGUGCCCCAAAGUGAGGAAUAACUGCCCGAAAGGGUAGCUAAUACCGCAUAUGAUCUUCGGAUUAAAGGAUUUAUCCGCUUUGGGAGCGGCCCGCGUCGGAUUAGGUAGUUGGUGAGGUAAUGGCUCACCAAGCCCACGAUCCGUAGCUGGUCUGAGAGGAUGAUCAGCCAGACUGGAACUGAGACACGGUCCAGACUCCUACGGGAGGCAGCAGUGAGGAAUCUUCCACAAUGGGCGAAAGCCUGAUGGAGCAACGCCGCGUGCAGGAUGAAGGCCUUCGGGUCGUAAACUGCUUUUAUAAGUGAAGAAUAUGACGGUAGCUUAUGAAUAAGCACCGGCUAACUACGUGCCAUCCGCCGCCGUA